rnacentral:rRNA from 1 species
UACGGAGGAUCCAAGCGUUAUCCGGAAUCAUUGGGUUUAAAGGGUCUGUAGGCGGUUUUGUAAGUCAGUGGUGAAAGUCCAUCGCUCAACGGUGGAACGGCCAUUGAUACUGCAAGACUUGAAUUACUAGGAAGUAACUAGAAUAUGUAGUGUAGCGGUGAAAUGCUUAGAUAUUACAUGGAAUACCAAUUGCGAAGGCAGGUUACUACUAGUGGAUUGACGCUGAUGGACGAAAGCGUGGGGAGCGAACAGG